UACUGACAGUUGAGAUUGGAGGGAGGGGGGAUGGAAAGAUAGGUUCUGAUAGGAUGGUCAGGUUCUGACAGGGGAGGAUGGAAGGAUUAUAUUUUUUGCGGUCACUGGCUGUUAAUACUCUGUCUGAGAGCUGUUGAAGAGAAUUGGGGGUUUAUUUGCUUUAUCUGUUUAUAUCGAAAGAGGACUUGUAUUGUCCCUUUUUAUGCCCACUUGCAGUUGGGCAUGACAGACUUCUCUGACAUCUUUUGAGGGACACCAUCCAGACUGAUCUCCAUUGAGCCACUGGCAGUGGUCCAUGGGGGCUGCUUGACUUCAGGGAUAUCAUGCGGUUACGUAUCAUGACCCAUGCCACAGUUCUUUGCUGAUCCACAACAUUGAAAGAGGACACGUAUUGUUCCUUUUUGAGACUCCUAUUUAUUCCCUGGCAGGGGUUUAUAAAUGAGAGGAAUUAUGUAGUGGGGUUUUUUCCUGAAGGAAACCCUUUUUAUAGGAGAGCAGUUUCAAAUUAGUAGCAUUUAUCAACCAUAUGCCCUUGGUUGACAAACAUUCAAAUAGAAAACAAUACCCUAAUCCAGGUGUUACCAGUUGAUAAUUAGCAGACUUAAUAUUUAGAGUAUAUGUUCCUGAGCUAUUCAAGGUCAACAGCAAAAACAAGAAAAAAAGCAAAAUCAAAGAAAAAAAGCAAGGCUCAGGCUUACUGUAAUUAGUUCAAAAAAGAGUGGAAAGGGAAAAGGAAAGCAAAAAUUCCUAAGAUAUGGGGCUUUCAAGUGAGAUAAACUAUUUAUUUACUUACCCACUUACUUAUCAAGUUUAAAUAGCUUCCUCACUGGAGAAGACCCUAAUGCUGGGAAAGAUUGAGGACAAAAGAAGAAGGGGAUGACAGAGAAUGAGUUGAAGGAAAUAAAAAUGUCCCUCUGCCUCAAUAAUGGAGCCAUCUAGAUAGGUCUAUGGCUCUGAAGGAACCCAGUGUCAGGCCCAAGCCCAGAAAUGAUACAGAGAAAUCCUACUGAGUUCAAUCUUUUAUUUGCUACAUUUAAUGGAUAGAAUCCUGCCAAACUUGAGCUGUAAUUUUCUAACUACGAGAUAUACCCUGGGAGAGUCUGGUGUGCGACUACCCUACUCUGAACCUCUUCCUUGCUCCCCCAUCCAUCUCGGGGCUGUGAAGUCUCUUGAUCCAGGUCUCUUUCUGGGAAAGCUCUGUGCUGCCCAAACUCUGCCCCAUUGCUCCUUCAGCUGCACAUGCCAUCAGACUCAGUCCAGGUCACCUAAUACGCUCUUAAGGGCUUUUUCAAUAAUCAAAAGGGACGGGACCAACUUAAUUUUGGGAAGAACAUUCUGUUAGUGUGGGCACCAGAACUGAGAAGGCACAUGUCCUGUGACCACUAAAUAUACAUCUGAAGCCAUCUUGCAGUUCUUUCAAGAGAAAUGGGCAAGUACAGUGUGGUGGAGCAAAAACCAUACUGUAAUUUACUCUGCCAAGCACAGAUACUUCUCCAAUUCUGCUCAGUCACCUCUGCACCACUUUUUCAAUGUAAAUUGUGUGCAUUUCUCUAUUUUUUCUAUGACAGUCUUCUUGUUAGCUCAUCCUCUGAUUCUACCAAACACAUCAGCAGGAUUUUGUACUUAAGUUUCUACCAAUUUUGAAAAAUAGCUAAAUAGUUUACACACACUAUUAUAUUUAAUAUAUUUGUUUAGUUUAGCUUACAGUAGUUUAGUUUACUUCACUUCAGGACAUUGACGUAAUGAUGGAGACAUUCCUGUAUUAUGCGGGAAAACUUCUGUUUGAGGCUCUUUCUUGGUGAAUUGUGUUAAUAUCUUCAAUUUAAAUAUAUCUACAAGACAACCUUCCUGAAAGGUCGGGAAACAUGACUCUGCAGAUCUGUCUCUAGAAAUAUAGAGAGAGGCAAAGAAAAGAGAGAGAGUACAUGGAUGAAAUGAUGGCAAGGCAUCAUCAAGUGGAGCUGGCAGAAAAAAAAUGCCAGGAUAACAGAUGGAAAAUCAAAGACUUGCCAGCAAAAUGGCAGGCAUUGUGAAGCAUACCAAUGAAAUGAAGAUCAUGCUCCAAUAAACUGAAGAAAGUAUUACUUUAACUUUA